AUACGUAGGUGACAAGCGUUAUCCGGAUUUACUGGGCGUAAAGGGCGUGUAGGCGGUCUUGCAAGUCAGAAGUGAAAUUCCUGAGCUCAACUCGGGCGCUGCUUCUGAAACUGCAGGACUUGAGUGCUGGAGGGGAUAGCGGAAUUCCUAGUGGAGCGGUAAAAUGCGCAGAUAUUAGGAAGAACACCGGUGGCGAAGGCGGCUAUCUGGACAGUAACAGACGCUGAGGCGCGAAAGCGUUGGGAGCAAACAGGAUUAGAUACCCUGGUAGGCCACGCCGUAAACGAUGAAUACUAGGUGUAGGGGGUAUCGACUCCCUCAGUGCCGCAGUUAACACAAUAAGUAUUCCGCCUGGGGAGUACGGCCGCAAGGUUGAAACUCAAAGGAAUUGACGGGG
rnacentral:rRNA from 1 species